UGGGGAAUCUUGCACAAUGGGCGAAAGCCUGAUGCAGCGACGCCGCGUGCGGGAUGAAGGCCUUCGGGUUGUAAACCGCUUUCAGCAGGGACGAGGCCGCAAGGUGACGGUACCUGCAGAAGAAGCCCCGGCUAACUACGUGCCAGCAGCCGCGGUAAUACGUAGGGGGCAAGCGUUAUCCGGAUUCAUUGGGCGUAAAGCGCGCGUAGGCGGUUUGUUAGGUCAGGAGUUAAAUCUGGGGGCUCAACCCCUAUCCGCUCCUGAUACCGGCAGGCUUGAGUCUGGUAGGGGAAGGCGGAAUUCCAAGUGUAGCGGUGAAAUGCGCAGAUAUUUGGAAGAGCACCGGUGGCGAAGGCGGCCUUCUGGGCCACGACUGACGCUGAGGCGCGAAAGCUAGGGGAGCGAACAGG
rnacentral:rRNA from 1 species